rnacentral:rRNA from 1 species
GAUGAACGCUGGCGGCGUGCCUAAUACAUGCAAGUCGAGCGAACGGACGCGACGCUUGCUUCUCUGAUGUUAGCGGCGGACGGGUGAGUCACGCGUGGAUCACCUACCUAUAUGUCUGGGAUAACUUCGGGACACCGGAGCUUAUACCGGAUGAUAUUUUGAACCGCAUGGUUCAAAAGUGAAUGACGGUCUUGCUGUCACUUAUAGAUGGAUCCGCGCUGCAUUGGCUGGUUGGUACGGUAACGGCUUAUCAAGGCUACGAUGCGUAGACGAACGGAGAGGGGGAUCGGCCGCACGGGAGGUUGAACGGGGUCCAUGCUCCUACGGGAGGCAGCAGUAGGGAAUCGGCGGCAAUGGGCGGAAGCCUGACGGAGCGGCGCCGCGUGAGUGAUGGAGGCCUUCGGAGCGUGAAACUCUGUUAUGAGGGGAGAACAGAUGUGGAAGGAACUGAGCACAUCGUGACGGUACCGAAUCAGAAAGCCACGGCUAACUACGUG